AAUGUGUCAUGAUUAUUGAUAUAUGUGUGCAUGAGCAUUUGAAUGAUAUCCGGGCUAAGUCCCGAAGGCAUUUAUGCUAGUGAUUUUAUCCGGGCUAAGUCCCGAAGGCAUUUAUGCAAGUGAUUUUAUCCGGGCUAAGACUCGAAGGCAUUUGUGCGAGUUGAUAUAUCCGGGCUAAGACCCGAAGGCAUUUGUGCGAGUUGCUAUACCCGGGUUAAGACCCGAAGGCAAUUGUGCUUGUG
rnacentral:lncRNA from 1 species